UCUCUCUUUCAUGUUACAUCCAUAUUUUUAUCUUUUUUUACAUUUUAUGUGGUUUUGUUUUUAACUGACACAUAGUUUUGCACACUUACAUGGUGCAGUGUGACACUUUACCAUAUAUUUGCAGUGUGUGAUGACCAGACCAGGAUGACUGACAUUUUCCCUCUGUGCUAAGAGUAUCUUGAACUGACGUCAUCUAGUGUGUGGAAGCUAUUCUGUCAGGGUUGACACUGCAGCUCAGUGGCAGAAAGAACACUUUGCCUAGAUGUGCAGGGGCCUGCAUGCCAUCCCCACUCUGGAAGUUACUCCUGCUGUCCAGCUGUGCACUGUGCCUCUCCCUCAUUCCAGACAGCCUUUUCCAGAGGGCACUCAAGGCCGCCACUUAGGAAAGGGCUGCUUGACACUCUCAGGCCUAUACUACUUGCUCAUCCUUCUGAACUGUGUCACUGAGUGAGUGUGGCACCCAGAACUCCCUUCUAGCUAACACUGCUUCUCACCACAGUGUAGCUCAGAAAGCAAGUUUUCCAUGAUACAGUCUCUUAGUGUCUCUCAAUUAAAACUGCCUUAAGCGCCAACAUUUUUACCAUUAUAAAUUUAAGAAACUAUUAUUAAAAUGAAGGGCCCUGGAAUUCUAAUCCUUCAUACUGUGGCCACCGUCAGCAGGGCCUGGGCUUCCGUUAUCUUCUGGGGCUUUUCUUGCUUGUGCACUAUUGUUCUACAUUUGUUCCCCAAAGUUUUUGUCCACUGAUCUCCCCACAGUUUUAGUAUUUAUAUUAGAAAAAGAUUCAGCAAUAAGAAAGUAAAUGAACACAUUCCAAGACUGGUGUUUAUUUUUUUAAAAUAAGCUGCUUUGGAGAUAAAAGGUCUGGGUUCAAAGCUUGUGCUGUCACAGAAGCUGUCGGAACCUCCUGAAUUUAUCAGGGUGGAACCUUAGUGUCUGGUUAAGUAGCCAUCCACAUAGCAUUCUCUAUACAGCCAUGCCCUCUGCUCCUCUACAGAGUGCACAAAUAUGGAGGUAGGUGCCUGUAUUGCCCACAGGUGACAGACAGAAUGGACCCCAAUGAGGAUUAAAUUCAUCAUGUAAAUGACAGACACAUGUAGGCCAUUGGUUGCUCUUAAGAGAGUGUGUAGCUUCAGGGUGAGGAAGGUCAAUGCCGUGGCAUCAAGAGACUAACAGACACCAUAUAAACAUAAAACUACCUCCUGUCCGUGAGAAUGCAUUGAGCCCACACAGAGUGUGCCUCGCUAACCAGGAAAUACAAUUGGAAGCACUCUUUAGUAAAAUCUAGAGCCCGGGCUUCACCUUCUCCUACCUGGAGAAAGCUGAACGGAACAUCUUUAAGAAGCCUUGGCACAAUCCCUCGAGACCAUCACCUUGAUAGAGUCAGCAUCCAGACGGACCCUGUGACUCACACCCUUGGCCUUCUCCCCACCUCCUCACGCUGAGACUGAUAAUGGCUGCCAUGCCGGACGAUGUCAAGCUACACUGUCACAUAGGUAGAUCUAGAGAAGAAAAACACCAGGGAGAAAUAAAUGUCUGUGCCUGUCAGGCAAACAGUGGGGACAGCCUGGCAGGGACAUUCUAUUUCUGUAGCCAGGAAGAAGAGGACAGGUGGCGGCAGAAGGUUGUUUCAGAACCAGGACAUGAGAGAGAGUGACAGGGAUCAUUCAUUGAUUUGGUGGGCAGCUGGCAUGAUGCGGACUCUUGGUAGAAAUACGAGAAGGCAUGAGUGUACAAGCAGAGAGGGGCGGACCAGAAGCCACACUCUGACUCAGCCAGGGGGGGAGGGGAAGUCACUCCGGCCCGCAGGCCUCUGCCUCACCGAAUACUUAGCUGUCAUAGCCCCAGUGACAUGCCUGUCUCUUUCUUCAGCCUGCUCAAGUACCCAGCCUCGGUCUCUGGGAGUUCUCUGUGGAGACCAACACUGAUGAAGGCACUGAGCCACAGCCAGGGAAGGCUGCUGUGUUGCAGACAUGUGUCGCUUUGUCCUGUGCCUCCUCCCAGCUCCCCUGGACGUGGCAUGCAACCUACACCAGGGAUCAGGGACCAAAAGUUCCUGGCUCUGCCUCAUAGACAGAUUGUUGCUACGUGCCAAGCACCAUGCCUUUGAUUCUUGCCUGUGUUACGGUUGUUCAUCAGGGGACCAGUCUGUACCAGAUCUGCUUUGUCUGCCUCCGCCUCCCACAGUGUUCCCGGGCACAGGGGUACCACUGCAAGCUAAACGGGCUUGGUCAGCUGCUGUGGAGCGCGAUUCUGGAACAGUGCUGAUUGCAGUCCAUAGAGAAUAAAUCCAAAUAACAAUCCA